rnacentral:rRNA from 1 species
UGAGUAACACGUAUCCAACCUGCCGUCUACUCUUGGACAGCCUUCUGAAAGGAAGAUUAAUACAAGAUGGCAUCAUGAGUCCGCAUGUUCACAUGAUUAAAGGUAUUCCGGUAGACGAUGGGGAUGCGUUCCAUUAGAUAGUAGGCGGGGUAACGGCCCACCAAGCCUUCGAUGGAUAGGGGUUCUGAGAGGAAGGUCCCCCACAUUGGAACUGAGACACGGUCCAA